GGUGAUCUAGCCAUGGGCAGGUUGAAGGUUGGGUAACACUAACUGGAGGACCGAACCGACUAAUGUUGAAAAAUUAGCGGAUGACCUGUGGCUGGGGGUGAAAGGCCAAUCAAACCGGGAGAUAGCUGGUUCUCCCCGAAAGCUAUUUAGGUAGCGCCUCGUGAAUUCAUCUCCGGGGGUAGAGCACUGUUUCGGCUAGGGGGCCAUCCCGGCUUACCAACCCGAUGCAAACUGCGAAUACCGGAGAAUGUUAUCACGGGAGACACACGGCGGGUGCUAACGUCCGUCGUGAAGAGGGAAACAACCCAGACCGCCAGCUAAGGUCCCAAAGUCAUGGUUAAGUGGGAAACGAUGUGGGAAGGCCCAGACAGCCAGGAUGUUGGCUUAGAAGCAGCCAUCAUUUAAAGAAAGCGUAAUAGCUCACUGGUCGAGUCGGCCUGCGCGGAAGAUGUAACGGGGCUAAACCAUGCACCGAAGCUGCGGCAGCGAACGUAUCACCCAAGACAACUUUACGGAGUUGACGAUUGACGGA
rnacentral:rRNA from 1 species